rnacentral:lncRNA from 1 species
UACAUUCUAUAGAUUCCUUUGAGUCAUCUUCUUGAUCCAGCUUUGCUUUGAUUUGGUAUUAUCAUUUUAAUCGGUUCAUGUUANUGAUUUGAGUUUUUACUUUUGAAAUCUGAUUCUGUCUUGUUAAAGUCAUGUCAAUAUUUUCCAAUUUUGUCUAAAAUUCCAUGUUUAACCAAGAAUGGAUAAACCUGCAUAGUUGAUUGGAGUAAUUCAAUAAGAAGCCUAGUGCAUCUUGAAGCUCCUC